rnacentral:rRNA from 1 species
AGUGAACGCUGGCGGUAGGCCUUACACAUGCAAGUCGAACGGCAGCACAGUAAGAGCUGGCUCUGACGGGUGGCGAGUGGCUGACGGGUGAGGAAGACAUCGGAAUCUACUUUUUCGUGGGGGAUAACGUAGGGAAACGUACGCUAAUACCGCAUACGACCUACGGGUGAAAGCAGGGGAUCUUCUGACCUUGCUCGACUGAAUGAGCCGAUAUUGGAUUAGCUAGUUGUUGGGGUAGAGGCGCACUAAGACGACGAUCCGUAGCUGUUGUGAGAGGAUGAUGAGCCACAUUGGUGCUGAGACGAGGUCCAGACUACUACGGGAGGCAGCAGUGGGGGAUAUUGGACAAUGGGCGGCAGAAUGAUCCAGGCAUACCGCGUGGGUUGAGAAGAAGGUCGGGUUGUUAAACACUUCUGUUGGGAGAGAAAAGCAGCAGGUUAGUACCCCGAUGUUUUGAAGGUAGCCACAGAAUAAGCACCGGCUAAGUUCGUG